AUUUUUCCAAAAUUUUCUCUCUCUUUCAUGCCUCUCUCUCUCUCUCUCUCUCUCUCUCUCUCUCUCUCUCUCUCUCUCUCUCUCAUGAGAGAGAGAGAGAAUUCAUUUUUCCAAAAUUUUCUCUCUCUUUCAUGCCUCUCUCUCUCUCUCUCUCUCUCUCUCUCUCUCUCUCUCUCUCUCUCUCUCAAGAACAAACCACCGACCCACCCUGAGAACCACCACCAUUCACCCUGAGAACCUCACUCAAACCCAGUUUUUGGUUGAGCUUCAAUUGGAAACUUCAACAAAAACCUAAAAUUUUCCAAAAACUGGUCAAACCACAUCCAAUCCAAAAUCUUCCAACAUGAACCCCCCCUCUAAAUCUUCUUCUAAACAUGAACCCUAAACUAAAAUCCUCAAAAGCUUAACAAAAUCAACAGAUCAAAACUUCUUAAACUCUGAAGCCCUAAGUUCCUAACACCUAAAAUCCAACCAAAUUUGAUCCAAUCUCUCAUCUAAACAUUAAUUCAACACCAAAACCAACAAGAUCAAACAUCAAUAGUAAGAAAUUAAACAAAGUAGACGAAUUAAAGCAAAAAAACACUCAAUAUGGUUCGAAAGUAACAACAACAAGCAUAACGUCUAUAACAAAUAAGGAAAGCAAACAAAAAAUGUAAACAUGAAGGGAUCAAGAGGUUUACCAAAUGGAUGUUAUCGAUGUGAAGUCCACACAUGUAAGUUCCUUUUUCUUUUCUCCGCUUCAUUUCAUUACUGAUCGUGUCCACCCAUUCUACCCCUUCUAUCUAUGUAUAUGCCUACCUACUUCUGUUUGUGUUUAUUACUCUAUUGUUGUUGUGUUGUUUGUUGUCAACGGUUUGGUGGUGGUUUAUCUCACCUUAAUAAGAUUUUAAUGCGAGGCUCUUAUAAGGUUUAGGUAUGAAAUUUUAGUGAGACUAGGAGGUUUCGGAAUUUAAAAAAUUGUUGUGCUUUGAGUAGCUGGGGUUGUUAGGGUUUUUAUGUUAUCAGUGUGAACUUUCUUGUGUCUUAAUAGGAUUUCAGAAGUUUUUGGUGUAUGUAAAUGAGUGAGAAUGAUAUUCAUUUUAUAGCAGUGAGGGAGUGAGAAAUUGGUAUGUGGGAGUGACGAAUAUGAGGAAGAUAGUUCUUCCUCAAGCAUGCGAAUUGAGAGUCGAUAGGAUCAAACAUAAUUAUUUGUGAUGAGUUAUGAAAAUGGUGUGUGUAAAAUAUCCCACAAAGUGUGGGAUUUUGGUGAGUGGGAGAGAUAUUUCGUGAGACCAUGUGCUCGAGCUUUGUGAACUUUCGAAUUUGUCUUUAUUGGAUUUUAAUUUUACCACUGUAAGUUGUUGUGGUAAAAAUGAAUGGUGUUUUUCUUUUUUUACAAUUCUUUAUACUCUUUACUGCAGUGAAACAAAUUGGUAUGUUAUGGUUUUCCUUUCGAUCAUGUCAUGGCCUUCAAUAUUAUGUGUAUUCUUAGGUUUGUUGCAUUACUUGUUAUAUUUGGCCUUAUUUUUUUUAUUAAUUGAAUUUCUAUCUUGUGGUAGGCCUUUUGAUGGAUGCAAUAGUGAACUCAAUUAUGCUCGGAAGGGGUCGGUUUUGGAAAGGAACCAAAUGAUGAACCAAAUGUGGAAUGUCAUGGAAAGCUUUGUGAUGAAUAAAUAUGAUGGACAUGGAGCAACUUGAAGACUUAACAAUAGUCUUAGGAGUUAGGUCUCUUGGUUUAGGUUUAUUCUUAGAUUUUGGCUUAUGUAGUAUUUCAAAUGUAAAGCAACAAGUGACUUGAGAUUCAACUAAACAAACUUCUAUUUCUUUAUUUUUCAUUGAUGCAAAAAUGUAUUUUUUGUUUAUGCUUAGGGAACUACAAAUACCAAAGUUCAAAGUAAUGCACAAUUUUUCAAUUUGUGAAUCUCUUUCUUUUUGUAAAUUUUCCAAUGAUAACAUUUGAACA
rnacentral:lncRNA from 1 species